rnacentral:rRNA from 1 species
AGCGAACGCUGGCGGCAGGCUUAACACAUGCAAGUCGAGCGGCCGUAGCAAUACGGCAGCGGCAGACGGGAGAGUAACACGUGGGAACGUACCCUUCAGUACGGAACAACCAAGGGAAACUUUGGCUAAUACCGUAUACGUCCGUAAGGAGAAAGAUUUAUCGCUGAAGGAUCGGCCCGCGUCUGAUUAGCUAGUUGGUGAGGUAACGGCUCACCAAGGCGACGAUCAGGAGCUGGUCUGAGCGGAUGAUCAGCCUCACUGGGACUGAGACACGGCGCAGACGCCUACGGGAGGCAGCAGUGGGGAAUCUUGGACAAUGGGCGCAAGCCUGAUCCAGCCAUGCCGCGUGGAUGAUGAAGGCCCUAGGGUUGUAAAGUCCUUUUAACGGGGAAGAUAAUGACGGUACCCGUAGAAUAAGCCCCGGCUAACUUCGUGCCAGCCGCCGCAGUAA